rnacentral:rRNA from 1 species
AUUGAACGCUGGCGGCAGGCCUAACACAUGCAAGUCGAACGAGUGGCGGAGGGGUGAGUAAUAUCUGGGAAACUGCCUGAUGGAGGGGGAUAACUACUAAAAGCGGUAGCUUAUACCGCAUACCAUCGGAUGUGCACAUGUGGGAUUCGCUAGUAGGUGGGGUAAAGGCGCACCUAGGCGACGAUCCCUAGCUGGUCUGAGAGGAUGACCAGCCACACUGGAACUGAGACACGGCCCAGACUCCUACGGGAGGCAGCAGUGGGGAAUAUUGCACAAUGGGCGCAAGCCUGAUGCAGCCAUGCCGCGUGUAUGAAGAAGGCCUUAGGGUUGUAAAGUACUUUCAGCCGGGAGGCGUUACCCGCAGAAGAAGCACCGGCUAACUCCGUGCCAGCCGCCGCGGUAAUAC